UAUUGGUAGUUGCAAGAGCUGCAGAUUUUGCAUGUACUCUUAUGCAAAUUUCGUUUCUGUUUCGGGCUCAAAAUUCAACUACACAAUUCAGAUUCCAGGUAGGGUCGCAUAUUUAAUCUUUAUAUAUCCUUAAUGGACAAUUUCAUUUCCGAGCAUCAAAUUGAGCUUUUUAUAUGUUUUCUGUGAAUUCUUCAGCUGUUUACUAAAAAAAAUUUUCCCUUAUUGAAUUUGUUCUCUUUUUUUUUUUCCUCUUUAGAUUUUUUUGUGGGAUCUUGAUAAAUUUCAUCGGUAUCAAUUACCUUAUGUUUCGAAUUCCAGGUAGCCGAAUUCUACAGGAAUCGAGCCUAUCUUCUACUGCUUUCCUGGUAUCUGAAUUCUACAGGACUCGAGGCUUACCUCAUGUUUCGAAUUCUAGAUAGCUGAAUUCUACAGAACUUGAGGCUAUUUUCUGCUGCUUUCCAGGAAGCUGACUUCUACAAGCCUCGAGGCUGUCUUCUACUACUAAUUCGAGUGUUGGUUUUUAGCGCAAUUUUUGAUUAUUCGCGGCUCCAAAAGGUGCAGGUUUUAAUUCCAGGUUUUAUUUUCUUGCAUAUGGCUGAUUUACAUGUGUGAGACUUAGAAUACAGGUAAAAAAAAGGUCCAGUUAAAUGCUGGUUUGUUCAUGCUGAUUUUUAACUGGACCUUUUUUUACCUGAACAGUCAAAAUCAGUAUUUUUUAAAUCAACAUAUUUUAGGCCCUCUCUAAAAAAAGGUCCAGUUAAAAUCAUCAUUUAACAAAAUCAGCCUUUGUUAAAAUGCUGAUUUUUUUCUUUACAAUUAGCAUUUUUUAGAAUGCUGAUUUAGAUCGGCAAUGCUAAAUCAGAACUUUUAUCUAAAUCAGCAUUUUUUUUAGAUUAGCAAUGCUUGAUCAGCUUUGCUGAUUUAGAUCAGCAAUGCUAAAUCAGCAUUUUUUUUACAAUCAGCAUUGCUGAUCUGAUAUAAAGCAUUUUUUGCAAUUAGCAUUUUUGCAAUUAGCAUUUUUUAGAAUGCCGA
rnacentral:lncRNA from 1 species